GUGUUUAGAUGCUGGGAACCGUGGGGGGAGGCAAGACGACUCGAGACAAGUUGCAAUCGAGGUAUCUUCGCUCCGGCUUCCUCCUUCUGCCCCGAGACCCCCUCCCCCGUGGUGCUGAGCUAGGGAGGGGAAACCAGGAUUUUAACCAAAUUAGCAUUCACAUUCCUGGGAGGAUGUAGCCCUCGCCUGGACCUGGGUGAUAGAAGCUUUUUGCUCUGUUUUUAUUUUUGGAGAGGAGCGCCCUGUAAUUGUCCUAAACACAUGCUUCUCUCUCCACCACCCCCCCCCCUUCUUCCUCCAGCCACCGACGGAGGAGAGAGUCCCCCUUUUUUGCAUUUAUCUUUUCCUUCCCCUUUCUUUAUUAAAGGUCCGGGAGUGGCGGCGCCCAAUCAGCGCGCGGCUUCCAUUUUGUGAGUUCAACUCCGAGGCUCCCGGGCUUCGCGAGGACGCAUUUGCAGCCCCCUCUGCCUGUCCUCUCGGGCGGCCGAGGCGAAGGAGCCGCCUUUCUGGGGCUUCGUGGUGGUGUAUUUCAUAUUGGGGCUCUUUUCGGGGUUUGUAAUUUGGCCGUGGGUAGGUAAUUGGCUGGAGCAGGGCGGCAGGGCGCGGCAGCCAAUCAGCGCGCGGCUUCUAUAGGGCUUGAGUUAUUAGACGCUGAUCUCAAAACAUCGUUCAUCAGACACCAAGGAGAGGCCAACAGAUGAGGGGAGCCAUUUUUCUGCAAUGGAAUUAAAUGGCCAAGUGGGUUUUUCCUUUGUUGCAAAUGGGGAAUGCUUUUCCUUUGACUCCACCAUCCAGUUCAGGACGCCUCAGUGUUGUGUUUAACAUUUGUCAACAGGCUAAAGGACUCACAAUUGGAAGAAUGAAGAAGACUUUUUAAAAAGAUCUGGAUUUUUCCUUAUGACUUGGAAUCCAUCUUUGUCUUGUAUAACUAGGUCAUAGCACACCAUUAAUGUCAGCAGUUAACAAUUUUGAAUUCCAAAAAACCUAAAGCAGUAAACAGUCCUCAGCGAAGCCGCCUUUUGCCAACCCAACCCUGGAAAGUUUGCAGAAGUGGAAGGAGCAGAAAAUGCCAUGAGAGUGUAACUUACAAAAAGGCUCUUGGCUGGAGAAAGGGCGACGGCCAGGUAUCCCCAGAGUGAACCAUCCUCCUCUGGACAGCAGGAUCAGGCCUAAUUUCACUCUGACAAUACUCUAAGAUGUGUGGGACUGUUGUGUGUGAAAUCGGCUGCCUGCUGGGCCUGCUUGGUCCAUCCAUCCCCGCCUGUCAGCUUCUGUUGUCAAGAGUUUGGGGCGUGCAAUUCUCUGCAGUUGAGCAGCAUAGGAGAGGCUGAACUUGCAAGUAUUUCCCAGUUGUGUGUUUUGGGGUGGGCGGGGUAGGGCCAUGGAUGCCUCUUCCGAAAGGUAGUCUGUUGCCAGGAAGCUCAGCCCUGCUCUGGCCCUCCCUUCCGGCCCUAGUGGGGGCAUGUGGGGUGACCGUGAGCUGGUCUCUUCCCCUCUGAUGUCUGGCUGCUACAGAGGUGAACACAAGUACUUGAGAUCUGGGCCAGCUUCCUCGGAGAAAGAGGCUUCUGGACUCUUCUCCCCCUUCUUGGGCAUUCCCACGAUUUUCUGCACCCCCCCCAGGCCCCCCCCC